GACGUAGGGUGCAAGCGUUGUCCGGAUUUACUGGGCGUAAAGAGCGCGUAGGCGGCUCGUUAAGUGAGAAGUGAAAGCUGUGGGCUCAACCCACAAACCGCUUUUCAUACUGGCGAGCUGGAGUGAUGCAGAGGUGGAUAGAAUUCCUGGUGUAGCGGUGAAAUGCGUUGAUAUCAGGAGGAAUACCCGUGGCGAAGGCGGUCCACUGGGCAUCAACUGACGCUGAGGCGCGAAAGCGUGGGUAGCAACAGG
rnacentral:rRNA from 1 species